rnacentral:rRNA from 1 species
UGCAGUCGAGCGGAACGAUCCUAGCUUGCUAGGAGGCGUCGAGCGGCGGACGGGUGAGUAAUGCAUAGGAAUCUGCCCGGUAGUGGGGGAUAACUUGAGGAAACUCAAGCUAAUACCGCAUACGCCCUACGGGGGAAAGCAGGGGCUCUUCGGACCUUGCGCUAUCGGAUGAGCUUAUGUCGGAUUAGCUGGUUGGUGAGGUAACGGCUCACCAAGGCGACGAUCCGUAGCUGGUCUGAGAGGAUGAUCAGCCACAUCGGGACUGAGACACGGCCCGAACUCCUACGGGAGGCAGCAGUGGGGAAUAUUGGACAAUGGGGGCAACCCUGAUCCAGCCAUGCCGCGUGUGUGAAGAAGGCCCUCGGGUUGUAAAGCACUUUCAGCGAGGAAGAAUGCUUGUCGGUUAAUACCCGGCAAGGGAGACAUCACUCGCAGAAGAAGCACCGGCUAACUCCGUGCCAGCAGCCGCGGUAAUACGGAGGGUGCGAGCGUUAAUCGGAAUUACUGGGCGUAAAGCGUGCGUAGGCGGCUUGAUAAGCCGGUUGUGAAAGCCCCGGGCUCAACCUGGGAACGGCAUCCGGAACUGUUAGGCUAGAGUGCAGGAGAGGAAGGUAGAAUUCCCGGUGUAGCGGUGAAAUGCGUAGAGAUCGGGAGGAAUACCAGUGGCGAAAGCGGCCUUCUGGACUGACACUGACGCUGAGGUACGAAAGCGUGGGUAGCAAACAGGAUUAGAUACCCUGGUAGUCCACGCCGUAAACGAUGUCGACUAGCCCGUUGGGGUCCUCGAGACCUUUGNGGGCGCAGUUAACGCACUAAGUCGACGCCCUGGGGGAGUACGGCCGCAAGGUUAAAACUCAAUGAAUUGACGGGGCCGCACAGCGGUGGAGC